AGUGAACGCUGGCGGUAGGCCUAACACAUGCAAGUCGAACGGCAGCACAGUAAGAGCUUGCUCUUACGGGUGGCGAGUGGCGGACGGGUGAGGAAUACAUCGGAAUCUACUUUUUCGUGGGGGAUAACGUAGGGAGACUUACGCUAAUACCGCAUACGACCUACGGGUGAAAGCAGGGGAUCUUCGGACCUUGCGCGAUUGAAUGAGCCGAUGUCGGAUUAGCUAGUUGGCGGGGUAAAGGCCCACCAAGGCGACGAUCCGUAGCUGGUCUGAGAGGAUGAUCAGCCACACUGGAACUGAGACACGGUCCAGACUCCUACGGGAGGCAGCAGUGGGGAAUAUUGGACAAUGGGCGCAAGCCUGAUCCAGCCACACCGCGUGGGUGAAGAAGGCCUUCGGGUUGUAAAGCCCUUUUGUUGGGAAAGAAAAGCAGCAGGUUAAUACCCCGCUGUUCUGACGGUACCCAAAGAAUAAGCACCGGCUAACUUCGUG
rnacentral:rRNA from 1 species